GCGCACGGUGUGGCAUCACACAGUGUGAAAAACUCCGGUGGAAUGAGAUGGCCCCGCGUCUGAUUAGGCAGUUGGCGGGGUAACGGCCCACCAAACCGACGAUCAGUAGCCGACCUGAGAGGGUGACCGGCCACAUUGGGACUGAGACACGGCCCAGACUCCUACGGGAGGCAGCAGUGGGGAAUAUUGCACAAUGGGCGCAAGCCUGAUGCAGCGACGCCGCGUGAGCGAUGAAGUAUUUCGGUAUGUAAAGCUCUAUCAGCAGGGAAGAUAAUGACGGUACCUGACUAAGAAGCUCCGGCUAAAUACGUGCCAGCAGCCGCGGUAAUACGUAUGGAGCAAGCGUUAUCCGGAUUUACUGGGUGUAAAGGGAGCGUAGGCGGUCUAUUAAGUCUGAUGUGAAAACCUUGGGCUCAACUCAAGGCCUGCAUUGGAAACUGGUGGACUGGAGUGUCGGAGGGGCAAGUGGAAUUCCUAGUGUAGCGGUGAAAUGCGUAGAUAUUAGGAGGAACACCAGUGGCGAAGGCGGCUUGCUGGACGAUAACUGACGCUGAGGCUCGAAAGCGUGGGGAGCAAACAG
rnacentral:rRNA from 1 species